GAAGAGGGUUUCCUUGGAAACGAAGGGAAGUAGUCACGCCGAGAAACCAACACGGUGGAAAUAAAAGAAACGAGAGUAGUACUCCGAGAGUAGUACAAAGCAACACGCACAGGCGGGGCUGCGAGAAACCAUAGAAAAAGGAAAAAAAAAAAAAGGAGAACACGGAAACGAAAGAGGAAGAGAAUUUUCUCGGUGCUGUGGUGGUGGUGGGAACCCUAGCGGCGUCGACCGGCUCCGAUGGCCCCUCCGCCGCCGUCUCCGGCGAGCGGCGCCCAGUACGCGCACCAGUUCCUCAACACGGCGCUCUCCCAGCGUGGCCCCUCCGCGCUGCCCUACGCCGAGGACGUCAAGUGGCUCAUCCGCAACCACCUCGUCGCCCUCGCCGACGCCUUCCCAUCCCUCCACCCCAAGGCCGCCCUCUUCACCCACAACGACGGCCGCGCCGCCCACCUCCUACAGGCCGACGGCACAAUCCCCAUCCACCACGCCGGCGCCUCCUACAACCUCCCCGCCGUUCUCUGGCUCCCAGAGCCAUACCCGCGCUCUCCGCCCCUCGUCUUCCUCUCCCCCACACGCGACAUGGUCAUCAAGCCCCACCACCCCCUAGUCGAUCGAUCCGGCCUCGUCGCCAACGCCCCAUACCUCCGCUCUUGGGUUUUCCCCUCCUCCAACCUCGUCGACCUCGUCCGAUCCCUCUCACACCUGUUUGGCCUCGAUCCCCCCCUCUUCACCAGGAGCCCCCAGGCCCAGGCCCCGGCCCCUUCCCCACCGAUCCUUGCGACCCCGCCCCCUCGCACGCACCCCUCCUCCCCAUCCCCCUACCGAUUCCCUGCCUCCCCCCAGCUUGCCGCGCGCCCCCCACCCACCGAAGACCCUGCUGAGGUCUUCAAGCGCAAUGCCAUCGCUAAGCUCGUCGACAUGGCCUAUGCUGAUGCGGCCACGCUGCGGCCCGCCCGUGAGGCCGAGGUCGAUACCCUCUUCGCCAUGCAGGCUACACUGCGCAAUCGGGGUGAGGUGAUCUCUGAUGGGGUGCACAAAAUCGGGGAGGAGAAGGAAGCACUUGAGCGCCGCCUUCAGGAUGUCAUGAUGGCCACAGACGUCAUGGAGGCAUGGGUCAUGGAGAACAGAAAGGGUGCUGUGGCUGCCAGCAACACUGAAGCAGACGAGGCGAUUGAGACGGCAGAUGUACUAUCCAAGCAGAUGCUUGAGUGUACGGCUGCAGAUUUGGCGCUCGAAGACACCAUUUAUGCGCUUGACAAGGCCAUCCAGGAGGGUUCUGUUCCAUUUGAUGGCUACCUCAGGAGCGUGCGUGCGCUUGCACGGGAGCAGUUCUUCCAGCGUGUCCUAUCGACGAAGGUGAACAAGGCACAACAACAGGCUCAGGUUGCUAGAAUGGCUGCUCGGGUGCCGCAGUAUGCAUCAUAGGCCUGGUGAGGGGUAGGACAAUUUCACUGACCCAUUUUGUGGUGCCUUACCAUUUGUCUAUUGACCUAUGACUUGUUAAGUUUGUUAAGUAUGUAAUGCUGGAAUUAGGAAGCUAUAGGCUAAGUGGUAAUGGAUGGAUGAUAAGGAGGCCAAUGUUAUUCUUGUUUUGGAAACAUGUCAAAAUAUGCAAAACAGUGAGGCUGAAGGAGUUUGACGAAAUUUGGAGUUGAAUAAAUUGGUUUGGCUCGAGAGCACAUGAUCAGAUUACUACAGAAGCCUUUAUUUAUGUGUUUAGCCUGGAUAGACAAUGCAAAACCAGUAAUUUUUUUAUUUUUUAAACCUUUUUAAUAAAUAAUUUUAUUACUAAACCUUGGCGGAAAAUAUUUUUACCGGAUGAACCUUUUGGCCACGCCAUCAACAUUGCAUGACAAAACAACGCUGCUACGAGAGUUUUUGGCAUGGAAGUCUUGUUACGCCAUUGUUUGUGGCGUGACAUGAUAAUGUUAUCUUGCCACGCUACCAAUACUGGUGUGACCAAAAGAUAUAUAUGUAAAAAUAUUUUUUCCAAGGUUUAUUAAUAAAAUUACUUAUUAAAAAGGUUUAAAAAAUAAAAAAAAAUCAAAACCAGUAGUGUAAUGGCUGGGAGCUAGAUUAUUCCUCAU